GUUGCUUUGUUUAUUUAGUUUAUCAGUUCCCGUGUUAUGUGUUCUUUUGAAAAUAAAGUGUAUCUAUCUAUGGCAGCAAAUAGCAUGCAUUAUCGAUUUGUGAAUUAGACAACUAUCUAACAAAAUACUGCAUUGUUUUAGUUGUUGGAAGGGGGAAAAGUGUUUUCUGUGCACCAGUUUCAGAUUUUACAGACUUGUUGAUGCAAAGAAGCCACUUUGUCGGUCAGUUUCCACUUGUAUAGGCGUACUGAUUUAAGAGUUUAUCCGUAUAAAGCUUUACACUAAGACAUCACAUCAUAGCAGCACUGUUUCUUUUAAGUUUGAAUGCAGCUGCGAUUAAGCAGAGAAGAUUUCAAUCUGUUUUGCCAAAAUGUACGUAACUUUUGAUCUGACAUGUAUCUCCUCAUCUGCUGUUAAAUAAGCUUAAAAGAAUAUCAGUUUUAUAUCUUUUUUAUAUCUUUUGCUUUAGCUCAGGAGGUCAACUUGCGUCUUUGUGGAGUAUUGAAUAUUAAUUAUACACGUAAACCAUUCUGUCGAUGCUUUUUUGAGGGCUUCUUUUAAUGGUUGUUGUUUACCCAGCUGCCUUUGCUGUGCUUAAUACCUUCAGCUCCUGAGAGUUUUAUAAAGUGCUAGUUCUGGCAUUAGACUAGAGCAAUAAAUAACACAACUUAAAAAAGAAGCUCUUUUUGAAGUCUUGUGACUUUUUCUCAUCUCAAACAACCUUUUUAACACUCUCCAUUGUUACUCUAAAAUGCAUUCAUACGUUACUGCCUCCAUUCUCUGGUGUUGUCCCUGCGGACCCAAGCUAGAUGGUUGUGCAAAUUGGGUCUGACUGAAACAGGACAUUCUCAAUCUGUUCAUGCCGUCUGUUUCUGAUUUGCAAUGUUGAGCCACAUUGAUUGCUGAAAUGGUGCACAACUCUGCUCUUGGGAGCAUUGGCAUGUGCCAUAUAUGAAAGUCAUGCUGAUAUCCAGGCCAGCUUUGAAUACAGGUCAUUUGUUUUCAGUGAAAUUAUAAUAAAAGUAAUAAUGAAAAAAUAAUAAUCCCACAAGCAUAGAGGACGUAGUCGGCACUGACGUAGAAAUAUGGCUUCUGAUUACAUCCUGAUUUAAAAGUUGGAGUCAAGGGAGGUAAAUUAUCCUCCAUUUAUAACCAUUUUCAUCUUUCCAGACCUCCGUUUGACGACACGAGUAAGUGAUUACUGUAAAUCAUUUUUACAGCUUUAAAAUACCUUCUCGGUGACAUCAAAUACUAGGAGGACUGAUAAAGCGAGAGGCUGAGGAGAAAUAUUCUCCACACCUGCUUUUUGUUAGGCCGAUAUGUAAUGCUCGGAAGGAAAAAGGCUUCAAAGUUGUUAGAAAGAUUAGCCCCAGGGGUAUCUGUCGGUCCGUCACCGUAUCAUCAUCAUGGUAACAGAAACGAGUCGUAUUCAUGCUCAAUGCUGUACAAGCAGUCUCAAAGCCUUUGACUUUUAUGUAGACAUGAUGGACAUUUCAAGCUGUAACAAAUGUUGUCUGCUGUUCCGUUUUAUCUGUUGAUGCAAAAAUAAAUUCUAUUUUUGAUUUCCAUGAAUUAACUAGAGGUGUGAAAACAAUAGUCAUGCUGUGUGGGGGGAAGGGUUCAGCAUUACUUUGUUUUUCUUCCUUUCCUUUUACUUUUUUGAUUAAAACAUUUUUAUAAAAAGGAGAAAAUAAGAAAAAAAAAUGUAUAUUUGUUUUGAUCAACCCACAGAACUAACAUGCAUCAUUGCUGUGACUUUGGCCUGACAAUAGAAACUAAAAAAGUAAAGCAAUAAAAUGUAAAAAGAGAAAAAAAGUACUCUUUUUCUAAAAAGAAUUGAUACAACCAUGUAGUAAUGCUGAAAAAGUACAAUGCCUGGUUAUAAUUUUAAAUAGUUUGAACAUUACAUCAUAUUUGUGUGACAAACAAUGACAUGUUGGAAAUUGUGGUUCUGUGCACUCGAGGUUAGAUUUAAAUGAUUU